GGUUAAGCGACUAAGCGUACACGGUGGAUGCCCUGGCAGUCAGAGGCGAUGAAGGACGUGCUAAUCUGCGAUAAGCGUCGGUAAGGUGAUAUGAACCGUUAUAACCGGCGAUUUCCGAAUGGGGAAACCCAGUGUGAUUCGUCACACUAUCAUUAACUGAAUCCAUAGGUUAAUGAGGCGAACCGGGGGAACUGAAACAUCUAAGUACCCCGAGGAAAAGAAAUCAACCGAGAUUCCCCCAGUAGCGGCGAGCGAACGGGGAGGAGCCCAGAGCCUGAAUCAGUGUGUGUGUUAGUGGAAGCGUCUGGAAAGGCGCGCGAUACAGGGUGACAGCCCCGUACACAAAAAUGCACAUAUUGUGAGCUCGAUGAGUAGGGCGGGACACGUGGUAUCCUGUCUGAAUAUGGGGGACCAUCCUCCAAGGCUAAAUACUCCUGACUGACCGAUAGUGAACCAGUACCGUGAGGGAAAGGCGAAAAGAACCCCGGCGAGGGGAGUGAAAAAGAACCUGAAACCGUGUACGUACAAGCAGUGGGAGCACGCUUAGGCGUGUGACUGCGUACCUUUUGUAUAAUGGGUCAGCGACUUAUAUUCUGUAGCAAGGUUAACCGAAUAGGGGAGCCGAAGGGAAACCGAGUCUUAACUGGGCGUUAAGUUGCAGGGUAUAGACCCGAAACCCGGUGAUCUAGCCAUGGGCAGGUUGAAGGUUGGGUAACACUAACUGGAGGACCGAACCGACUAAUGUUGAAAAAUUAGCGGAUGACUUGUGGCUGGGGGUGAAAGGCCAAUCAAACCGGGAGAUAGCUGGUUCUCCCCGAAAGCUAUUUAGGUAGCGCCUCGUGAAUUCAUCUCCGGGGGUAGAGCACUGUUUCGGCAAGGGGGUCAUCCCGACUUACCAACCCGAUGCAAACUGCGAAUACCGGAGAAUGUUAUCACGGGAGACACACGGCGGGUGCUAACGUCCGUCGUGAAGAGGGAAACAACCCAGACCGCCAGCUAAGGUCCCAAAGUCAUGGUUAAGUGGGAAACGAUGUGGGAAGGCCCAGACAGCCAGGAUGUUGGCUUAGAAGCAGCCAUCAUUUAAAGAAAGCGUAAUAGCUCACUGGUCGAGUCGGCCUGCGCGGAAGAUGUAACGGGGCUAAACCAUGCACCGAAGCUGCGGCAGCGACGCUGAUGCGUUGUUGGGUAGGGGAGCGUUCUGUAAGCCUGCGAAGGUGUGCUGUGAGGCAUGCUGGAGGUAUCAGAAGUGCGAAUGCUGACAUAAGUAACGAUAAAGCGGGUGAAAAGCCCGCUCGCCGGAAGACCAAGGGUUCCUGUCCAACGUUAAUCGGGGCAGGGUGAGUCGACCCCUAAGGCGAGGCCGAAAGGCGUAGUCGAUGGGAAACAGGUUAAUAUUCCUGUACUUGGUGUUACUGCGAAGGGGGGACGGAGAAGGCUAUGUUGGCCGGGCGACGGUUGUCCCGGUUUAAGCGUGUAGGCUGGUUUUCCAGGCAAAUCCGGAAAAUCAAGGCUGAGGCGUGAUGACGAGGCACUACGGUGCUGAAGCAACAAAUGCCCUGCUUCCAGGAAAAGCCUCUAAGCAUCAGGUAACAUCAAAUCGUACCCCAAACCGACACAGGUGGUCAGGUAGAGAAUACCAAGGCGCUUGAGAGAACUCGGGUGAAGGAACUAGGCAAAAUGGUGCCGUAACUUCGGGAGAAGGCACGCUGAUAUGUAGGUGAAGUCCCUUGCGGAUGGAGCUGAAAUCAGUCGAAGAUACCAGCUGGCUGCAACUGUUUAUUAAAAACACAGCACUGUGCAAACACGAAAGUGGACGUAUACGGUGUGACGCCUGCCCGGUGCCGGAAGGUUAAUUGAUGGGGUCAGCGCAAGCGAAGCUCUUGAUCGAAGCCCCGGUAAACGGCGGCCGUAACUAUAACGGUCCUAAGGUAGCGAAAUUCCUUGUCGGGUAAGUUCCGACCUGCACGAAUGGCGUAAUGAUGGCCAGGCUGUCUCCACCCGAGACUCAGUGAAAUUGAACUCGCUGUGAAGAUGCAGUGUACCCGCGGCAAGACGGAAAGACCCCGUGAACCUUUACUAUAGCUUGACACUGAACAUUGAGCCUUGAUGUGUAGGAUAGGUGGGAGGCUUGGAAGUGUGGACGCCAGUCUGCAUGGAGCCGACCUUGAAAUACCACCCUUUAAUGUUUGAUGUUCUAACGUUGACCCGUAAUCCGGGUUGCGGACAGUGUCUGGUGGGUAGUUUGACUGGGGCGGUCUCCUCCUAAAGAGUAACGGAGGAGCACGAAGGUUGGCUAAUCCUGGUCGGACAUCAGGAGGUUAGUGCAAUGGCAUAAGCCAGCUUGACUGCGAGCGUGACGGCGCGAGCAGGUGCGAAAGCAGGUCAUAGUGAUCCGGUGGUUCUGAAUGGAAGGGCCAUCGCUCAACGGAUAAAAGGUACUCCGGGGAUAACAGGCUGAUACCGCCCAAGAGUUCAUAUCGACGGCGGUGUUUGGCACCUCGAUGUCGGCUCAUCACAUCCUGGGGCUGAAGUAGGUCCCAAGGGUAUGGCUGUUCGCCAUUUAAAGUGGUACGCGAGCUGGGUUUAGAACGUCGUGAGACAGUUCGGUCCCUAUCUGCCGUGGGCGCUGGAGAACUGAGGGGGGCUGCUCCUAGUACGAGAGGACCGGAGUGGACGCAUCACUGGUGUUCGGGUUGUCAUGCCAAUGGCACUGCCCGGUAGCUAAAUGCGGAAGAGAUAAGUGCUGAAAGCAUCUAAGCACGAAACUUGCCCCGAGAUGAGUUCUCCCUGACCCUUUAAGGGUCCUGAAGGAACGUUGAAGACGACGACGUUGAUAGGCCGGGUGUGUAAGCGCAGCGAUGCGUUGAGCUAACCGGUACUAAUGAACCGUGAGGCUUAACCUU
rnacentral:rRNA from 1 species